rnacentral:tRNA from 1 species
UCCUUGGUAGCUCAGAUGGUAAAGAAUCUGCCUGCAAUGUAGGAGACCCAGGUUUGAUCCCUGGGUUGGGAA